rnacentral:lncRNA from 1 species
CCAAGGACAAAAAACCAAACACCGCAUGUUCUCACUCAUAGAUGGAGAAACAGAGGGAAGAAGAGACUUGGAAUCACUCUGUCCUGGCUGUGGGUCUAUGAAAAAGAAUGUGGCCUACUGCUAAAUACAUUGAUUUUGAAGCUAGAUAGCUCUGGUUUUGGGGAGCAAGUGAUUUGAUCUCUCAGAGACUCAGCUACUUCAUCAGUAAACAGAGAUUACCAUAUCCACCAGUAAUGGCUAUAGGAGCAGUAAUAGGGAUGAUAUAGGUGAAAGCACUGAUCACUGAAUGAUUCCAAAGACAGGUGCAGAGAGGUUCAGGCAUCAGACAGGCUACCUGGAUCCAAAUCCCAGCUCCAUCAUUUACUACUUUCAUGGCCUUUACAAACCACUAAACUUCUCUCUGAGCUUCAAUUUUCCCAUCUGUAACAUGGGAACUAAUAAAAUGAAACCUUCCUAAUAAAGUUGCCAGGAAGAUUCAUUGAGACAUUGAAUGUAAAGUAUUUAACUCAAUAUAGAGCACAGGGGAGCACCAAAUAAAAUUCAGGUGUUACAUUUUUAAGCACGUGUUCACCAAGGCUCCCAAUUCAGGUGGUGAGGAUUCUAUGAUGAUCAAUUCCUCCUAAGGUAUUUGUAAAAUGACCCACCAGAUUACCAACCAUUCCUGUAUUUCCAGAACCCUUUGGAGUCCUUUAUGUAACCUGGGAGAGCUGUUAUUCUUUUUUCUUUUUGGUAGAAGUGAAAUCCUGCAGGAAAACUUGCUCCAUUUUGGUUAUUUCUGUUAUAUCACAAGGUGGGCUGGAUAGCAAGUUUUGGAAGCACUGAACACCCACACGGAGCUGGCUCCUCUCAGGCGGGGAGGCAUCUUCACUAAGGAGAGGUGCAGUCUGUGUCCCCGUCCUUGACUCUGAGAAUCCCUGUGAUCAACAGAAUGCAGAAAAGUGACACUGCAUGGCUUCUGAGGCUAGGUCCAGAAAAGGUGAUGCAGCUUCCCCCUUUGCGCUGAAAUGCAGUGCUUGGACCUCAGAGCUAUUGACUAAGAAGUCCAUGCACCCUGAGCUUCUCAUGCUGGGGAAGCCACGUGUAGGCAUUCAGUUCCCAGCCCAGCUGAGCUCCAUCCUGGCUGCAACAAUUGUUCUCAUGAGGAAGCCAUCUUGGACACUCAGCUCCAUGGAGCCUCCACGAGUCGCCAGCCCCAACUGACAUCUGUCUCACUGCAACCACAGAAGAGCCUCCAACCAAGAACUGCACAGCUGAACCCUUUCUAAAUUCUUGAUCUCCAAAAAGCCAUGCACAAAAUAAAAUGGUUGUUUUGAGCCACUAAACUCUGGAACCUCGAGUAGGGGAGAAGUUCCUUUGGGUAGGUGUCAUUUUCCUAGGCUACCAUUCAUUUUCUCUUAUUUUGGUGAUAGCAGUCUGAUUUAUGUGUGUGGGUGGGUCGGGGGUAACCCUGAUCUUAAGUCAUGUAGUUCAGGUGCCUCCUGGAUGUGCCUGCCUAACCAUCAUAUCCCCACUACGGUACGGUGUUUGUAAAGAGUUGAGCAAAUAAUCCAGGACAGACCACUGAGAUUCUGCCUUGUGACUUUUGUUAAAAUUAGUGAGAAAAAGUCACUCUCGGGGCAGGCUGGAGUAAAGAGGGAUUGCUAAAUAGAUGCUAGGUAGGCCUGAAACUGCUGGGGGCCAAUUUAUUAUGAAGCAGGAAGAACCUAAUAAGGAAUAAAGUUACUCUGGAGGAAAGCCAAGCAAAGGAGGGUGAGAGACAGCUUCCUGAUGAGACUAAGCUUUGGACCCAGUUUUGCCUGGAACUUCGGCAGGCUGUUUUAGUUUCGUAAGUUAAUACGUACUCCUUUUUGAUUAAGCUAUUUCAGAGGUGUCACUUGCAUCUGAAAGAUUCCUAAUACAGACAGGUAAGAUCAGGUCAUGGAGGGCUUUGUGCCCUGUGAUGGUAAAGUUUUACUUUAUUCUGUAAAGAAUGAGAACUAUAUUUUAAUCAGGAGCAGGAUGAUGAGAUGUACACUUUAGCAAGACACCUGAAUGCACUGAGAAGGGAUAUUUUGGUGUUAGGAACAGGGAAAUGGACUAGGAGUAUAUAGUGUUAGUUUAGGACAUUAUGAUGCCAACUAAUAUAGCUGGUGGGAUUGGAUAUGCAAUUUGAGAAAUAUUUAAAUCAUGGAAUCAACACAAUUCAGACAGGUUGGGUGGUGUUGGGAUAAGGAAGAGAGAAGAAGCAAGGAUGACUUUUAGAUGGAUGGCUUAUAUACAAGCUGGACUAUGUAUCACUAAAGAGAAUAUUAGCUCCAGUUUAUGUCUGAUGACUCAGAAGUUAAACAACCUGCCCAAGGUUGUGUACCUAGUAAGAGCAGAACCAAUCAGGUCUUUAGGCUCCAAGACUUUCAUUCUUUGAAUUGUAUCAGGCCACUCACUGUGUUGAGGCCGCCAUGUGCACUGCAUUCCCAAGAAAUCAUAGCACAUGGGGCUGCUUGUUGUUCAGCACAUCAGGAGGAAGGCAAAAUUAUUAAUGCUUUCUUUUGGUCUCCUUGCUGUGUCUGACUUGCUACCAAACAAAACCUCUGCAGCAGGGCAUUUGUACUAUUCAGGUUUUCUUGGCUGACUUAUCAGCAUUUGUGAAAAGUACAGACGAUUUUGUUCCAGCCUUUCUGCAUUCUGACUUCAGAAGCUGAUUACAGAUGCAGAAACAUGAAGGGAGGUGAAAUCUAUUUCCCAAGAUGGACUAUGGAUUGGUUCUAAAGAUCAAAAGGGUGUGGCUUUUCAAUACAAACAACAAAGUCUGGGAGUUUUUGCACAGUGGAAGAGAAAGGCAAGUAGUAAGGGUGGCAAAGUGCUCAUUAGGAAGAAAAGUUAACAGGAAAACUUGGUUUAAAUCAAGGCAAGUAUGAAGAGAAGGUUAUCAACUUUAUGAAAAAGAGGACCAGAGAAGGCGAAGUGGCAAGCUGAGUGGCGAAUGCUGCUUAUCAUAUAUCCAGUUAAAAUUUCUUGGUCUCAUUCUUCACCAUUGUUAAAAUACUUUAACAUAUUUUAUAUACACUUAAAUAUCUGCUCCUUUCUAGUAAUAUAUUUUAUGUCUUUUACCAUCUUUGAGCCACAAUGAUCUCAACUGUGAAAUGGGAGCAGUAACAAAUUGCACCAUAAGAUUGUUGUGUUAAAUAAUGGCAUGAAUGUGCUUAGCCUGUUGCUUGUCACAUGGAAUCUGCACAGUUAAUGCUCAUAGCCUGUAACUCUUCCCAUCCUCUUCAGCAAGCUUUUAUUUAAUGACGCAGUUACGAAUGAGAAACUCCUGCAAGAAUGAUCAGUGUGCAUUGGAUAGAUGUUAAUUAGGUAGGACAGCCAGCAUUAUGUUCAUUUGAAGGGGAAAAAAACUGAGGUUUUCAGAGGUUAAGUAGCUUGCUGCAAAGUGCUUAGCUAUCAACAAAUAGGAGGUGGUUUUCUCCAGAGGGCCCCAGGUGAGAUGCACAGGUGUUACCCAGUGCAGACUUUUGGUCACCUUCACUUAACAUGGUGAUUGUUAUCAGAUGAGAAAGAAGACACCCUGGAAUUGAGAAAGUGCCAUACAAGAUGAGGCCAUUGCAAAGAGGAAAAAAGAGGCCCUGUGUGAGGCUAGGAAGACAGCACAACAAUGAGCCCAUGGCUUGCCAGGAAAGGAUCAGAAAUGGGAGGAGUGUUGUAGGCUAGUGGGACAUUCUCAAGCUUCAGAUCAGGUGAUUCUGUGCCCAAAUUAUCACUCCUCCAUGUAUUAUCUGUGUGACUUUGAACAAGGUUGUGUAACCUUUCUAAGCCUGUUUCUUCUUUUUUUUUGAUUUUUUUUUUUUGAGAUGAAGUCUCACUCUGUUGCCCAGGCUAGAGUGCAAUGGUGCGUAAUCUCGGCUCACUGCAACCUCUGCCUCCCAGGUUCAAGCAAUUCUCCUGCCUCAGCCUCCCUAGUAGCUGGGAUUACAGGCGAGCACCACCAUGCUCGACUAACUUUUGUAUUUUUAGUAGAGAUGGGUUUCACCAUGUUGGCCAGGGUGGUCUGGAACUCCUGACCUUGUGAUCCACCCGCCUCAACCUCCCAAAUUGCUGGGAUGGAUUACAGGCAUGAGUGGCCGUACCCAGCCUUGUUUCUUCAGUUCUAAAAUGGAUAUAAUAAUGUCUUAUUUAAUUAUCACUGUUAGUAUACAUUGACAUGUCUUGUAAAGUACCCAUCCAGUCCAAUUCCUUAGGAAAUGCUUAAUAAGUAAUAAUAAUUAUGAGCCUAAUUAUUGUUUUUAUUUUGGAGCAAGCCUUAGCUGAACAUUUUCCCUGUGGAAAAAGAUUGUUUGAAUGGGCAUUAACCAAUCUGGAGGGAUUUAUAACAUUUCAAAAAGACUGUUAUAAAACUAGGGAUAGUUUGCCAGAACUGAAAAUCAAUGCAUUUAAUGUUCAGCUGUUUUGAAUGAGGAGGUAGUGCAGGUAACAGACUCUUGGCAGCCCAUCCCCAUUCCUGUUUCAGUCCUGAACCCAGGCAUGGGCUUAAUGUGAGAGAUAGAAAUAGGGCAAUCGAUGACUGAGAUUCAGAAAUGGGGCAGAGCCGGAAAUGUCUGUUGUAAAUUAAUUAAUUUUAAAAAGUCAAUUAGUGAAGAUGUGUUUUUACAUUUUGAAGCCACUACUUCCCGACUUGUCUGGAAAGCCUGAGAUUAAGAAUCACACUUUGGAGGUAAGGGAAUACACUAGUCUGUUCUUGCCCUGCUAUAAAGAACUACCUGAGACUGGGUGAUUUAUAAAGAACAGAGGUUUAAUUGGCUCCUGGUUCCACAGGCUCUCUAGGAAGCGUGGUUGAGGAGGCUUCAGGAAACUUGCAAUCAUGCAGGCACACAUUGCAUGGCUAGAACAGGAGGAAGAGAGUGAAGGGGGAGGUGCUAUACACUUUCAAACAACCAGACCUCGUGAGAACUCACUAUUAUGAUAACAGCAAGGGAGGAAUUCACCCCCAAGAUCCAAUCACCUCCCACCAGGCCCCUCUUCCAACUUUGGGGAUUACAAUUUGACAUGAGACUUGAGUAGGGUCACAAAUCCAAACCAUAUCAUGGGACAAGUGAUUGAAGACUCAUCAUUCUGUUCUGAAUGAAUUUUAUGACCAACUUGCUGUGUAGAGGGAGACAUUUGCCAAAUUUCAUUCAUAAUGGGUUCUGCAUACAGAACAGCUCGGAUUCCAGUUAGCCAUUAUUAUUGUAUGAACUUGCAUGAGUCACUUAAAUAAUUUGUGACCCAAUGUACUCAUCUGUAAAAUGGAGAUGCUAAUGGUAACUUGUUUGUAGCCUUUUGUGAUGAUUAAAUAAGAUUACUUUGUAAA